AUGGCCAGGCCACAGUCCUGCAUCUGACAGGGCUGUGGACGAAAGCCGAGUCUGUCCUGGAGCAGCUGGGCCUGGGCAGGUCUGAGCCCGUGUGAGGAACAUUCCUGCAGAUGCACAGCAUGCAGAGGGCAGGCGGGGCUGACGCACACACUUCUCCCCAGUGAAUUCUGGAGGCUGGAGUCAACCUAUAGAAAGUCUUCCAUGAGGCCGAAAUUGGAGUGUGUGAUGGGGGUGGCUCCUGGGUCUCAUGGAGUUCCUCAGAGAGCUUCUGCCUGAGUUAUCUAUUGGUAUUCUGCAGCAGCUGCCUCACAGAGCCUGGAGAGCUCCAGCAAGGAUGGGCCGGAACUCCAGCUGCUGGGUUGUAUAGUCUUCCAAUGUCUGCAAUUCCCUUAAUGGCCAUUAGAGUCGCGGACGAGAAAAAAACUCUUCAGAAAACGGUGUGAAUAAUGGGAGCAAGAGAAGAAGUUCCUGGUUAUAGCCCACUCAUAUAUUUUUGAAAUAUAGGUCAGAUCUAGAGGAAAUGAAAGAAACUUCCUGUUGAAUUUUCAUUUAUAGUAUGUGUCUGGAAAUCUCUAAAUGUAAUUUCUUGGUGUAAAAUAAACUGCAGAAAUCUGGGAUGUGUCAGUCUGCUUUAUGUUUAUUGAAGCCAUUCUAUUUG
rnacentral:lncRNA from 1 species